CUUAAGACUUGCGUCUAAUC
rnacentral:tRNA from 1 species